GACCCCAACACUCUGUGGAGGUUGCCCGACAAUUUUAAGGUGGUCUAUUCACAGGUACAAGGAGAGAUCAUGGUGGGCGGAGUCUUUUUAAGGAUAUUUAUAUCGCAGCCUACUUGGGUUCUGAGGAAACCAAAGGAGUUUCUGAUAUCACUACUCGACAAGUUUGGACAGCUCUCACAGUCUGCUCAUCCUGAUGGAGAGAUCCUGGAGACAGUGACAGAGGCUUGUGUUUGUCUCUUUACUGCCCAAC